rnacentral:rRNA from 1 species
AUUGAACGCUGGCGGCAGGCCUAACACAUGCAAGUCGAGCGGAUGAGGGGAGCUUGCUCCUGGAUUCAGCGGCGGACGGGUGAGUAAUGCCUAGGAAUCUGCCUGGUAGUGGGGGAUAACGUCCGGAAACGGGCGCUAAUACCGCAUACGUCCUGAGGGAGAAAGUGGGGGAUCUUCGGACCUCACGCUAUCAGAUGAGCCUAGGGCGGAUUAGCUAGUUGGUGGGGUAAAGGCCUACCAAGGCGACGAUCCGUAACUGGUCUGAGAGGAUGAUCAGUCACACUGGAACUGAGACACGGUCCAGACUCCUACGGGAGGCAGCAGUGGGGAAUACUGGACAAUGGGCGAAAGCCUGAUCCAGCCAUGCCGCGUGUGUGAAGAAGGUCUUCGGAUUGUAAAGCACUUUAAGUUGGGAGGAAGGGCAGUAAGUUAAUACCUUGCUGUUUUGACGUUACCAACAGAAUAAGCACCGGCUAACUUCGUG